rnacentral:ncRNA from 1 species
UUUCAUGAGAGUUUGAUCCUGGCUCAGGAUGAACGCUGGCGGCGUGCCUAAUACAUGCAAGUCGAACGCGCCGAGAAGGGAACUUGUUCCUUUCAACGCGAGUGGCGAACGGGUGAGUAACACGUGGGAAACCUACCCUUCAGCGGGGGAUAACCAUCGGAAACGAUGACUAAUACCGCAUAGUUGUUC